AAUGCUAUAUAAGAAUUGUCAAGUUCGGAUUUUGUUAUUGGAGUACGAAUCAGUUUGAUUGGAGAUAAGUUUAUUGUCACACCAAUAGCCAAGGAUUGGAGAUAAGUUUAUUGUCACACCAAUAGCCAAGGAGAUGAAACAUUCGUAGCAGGAUUUAUUAGUUGUAACAAAUAUAAUUAUGAUAGAUGAUUAUAACAACAACAAUAUUUUAACACACUGCCUCCAUCUUGUUUGCAUGAUCCAGCAAGAUAUUUCAUUUCAGCACACCUCACAAAGCACUGCUCGUCCCCGAAAUGGGUGUUGCAUACUAAUCCGUGAAAGCAUUUCGGCGCCGGUGGAUCCCAUUCACCAUCUGCAUAUAUAACAAGUAAAAUAUAUUAAUUUAUCUACAUAAAUGUAUAAUCCAUUAACUUAUGUAUAAUAAAAAAAUUCAUAAAAUUAUAUAAUAAUUGAGAAAUGAUUCACCUGUUCUUGCCGUAAACGCAGAUGUGAAAGCCGUGAAAAUAAUUAACAUAAAAAUUAUUUUUUGUAGCUCCAUGUCUUCCUUAUAACUUGUACUUUGAUUUGAGAAUAGAUGAUCGAUUAUAAUAACUAAUUUUC
rnacentral:lncRNA from 1 species